rnacentral:rRNA from 1 species
UAAGCGGAGGAAAAGAAACUAACAAGGAUUACCUCAGUAACGGCGAGUGAAGCGGUAACAGCUCAAAUUUGAAAUCUGGCCGCAAGGUCCGAGUUGUAAUUUGUAGAGGAUGUUUCGAGCAUGGUCUGGCCUAAGUUCCUUGGAACAGGACGUCAUAGAGGGUGAGAAUCCCGUAUGCGGUCAGGUGCCUACGCUCAUGUGAAACUCCUUCGACGAGUCGAGUUGUUUGGGAAUGCAGCUCAAAAUGGGUGGUAAAUUUCAUCUAAAGCUAAAUAUUGGCCAGAGACCGAUAGCGCACAAGUAGAGUGAUCGAAAGAUGAAAAGCACUUUGGAAAGAGAGUUAAACAGUACGUGAAAUUGUUGAAAGGGAAGCGCUUGCAACCAGACUUGCGCGCGGCUGAUCAUCCGGGCUUCUGCCCGGUGCACUCGGUCGCGCUCAGGCCAGCAUCGGUUUUGGUGGCGGGAUAAAGGCCUUGGGAAUGUAGCUCCUCUCGGGGAGUGUUAUAGCCCAGGGUGCAAUGCCGCCUACCGGGACCGAGGACCGCGCUUCGGCUAGGAUGCUGGCGUAAUGGUUGUAAGCGACCCGUCUUGAAACACGGACCAA